UCUAACCUUGUAUUGCAUGUCUUGAGGUUUCGAAUGUCCGUCUGAUCCCAAGUAGAAUCUGGGGCCAUCACAUGAAACCUUUUCCCAAAACUCUCGGCCACACCUACACUGAUAACCACCUCUCAACCAUUCUCACUCACCCUCUACGUCGAAAUUUGUCCCCCACUCGAGCCCCCUCACUCCAUUGUUGAAAUCAAAAGCGACUUCCACAUUCUUAGUCAUCCUCUGCCACUAGAAUCAAGUGUAGACGAUGAGGAGCAAAGGCGAGCUUGCGAGGCUGCGAUCGAGGGCAUUAAGCAGAAGAUAUUGGGGUGUUGAUCCGUGUUUCCAAGGGUCGAGGGAUCUAGGGAAAAUCCAGCAAGCUAGGCCAUCAGAUGGCCAAACCUAGGGUUCUUGGUCUCUCCAGUUAGUGCUUCUAUUCCCUUUUGGAUUCUGUAUCUUCAAAAUCUUUUGAAGGGACAAAGUGGCUUCCUCUUUAAGUUGGGGUAGAUCUUAUAAGCUUUUUGUUUGCUUUUGUAAUUCGUUUUUAUUUUAAAAGUUGUCUUUCCAACCCCGAGGGGUUGGCACAAGUACUUAUCUUUCCAGUAUCUUUUGUUUGCUAUUUGGCAUGUCAAAUGUUGCAUUUUCUAUUAGUUUUCCUGUUCAUGUUAUUUUAAAAUAUUUUUGUUUGAGGCCUGAGUUUUUUGGAUUUCAUAGAUGCUGCUGCUGUGUGAGCUGGUUCUCAAUCCAUAAUAUGGUCAGAAAGCAAAUAUUCUUUCAUUUUACUUCAAAUAUUAGUUCUUAUAAAUUAUCAACUUUUUUUUUUUUUUUUUUUUUUUUAUUGUAAGAGGUUUUAUCUUCUGAAGUUGUUAUAUUGUUUUACUUGGCCUCUCUGUCAUGUUUGGAUAAACACGGACUGUGACCAUAAACCACUACGUACCCAUGCAGCCUCUCCCUACCGCAGUUAGUCUGUUCAAAGGUGCAAAAAGACUUGAAGAUGGAUAGAGUUAACUAGCUUAUUAUAUCUUCUUCUUCUUCUUCUUUUUAUAUUUUUUUCAAGUAGUUAACUAGUUUAUAUCUUGAACAAAUAAACUCUCUUUGAAGAGUAGAUAAGUUGGAAUAACAUGAGUUUUUUAUUUUUUUUAUUUUAUGCUUUAGCUGCCGCCUCUUUUUCUUAGAUGAGCAGGCGUUUUUAAGUUUGGAAGAAUUUUCCAUAACAAAGGUACUAUUAGUUGCUUUCUUAUUCUAUAUUUUGGUUCAUAAAUUCCAACCCAAGUUUGGAAGAAAUUUUCAUAAGAAAGGUACUAUCAACUGCUGUAUCGU